GCCUGGAAAGACAUUUCCCAGAGUCCAGUAGCCCCUCGUUCCCCGGUUUUAUUUCCCAGGGUUUCUGUUACCACGGCCAAUCGUGAUCCGGAAGCAGAUGGUCCUCCUCCUGAGGAUUGAUCCUCAGCAAGUCAGUAGUAGCCUAACGCUACGUCUCACGGCCUGUGCCAUUCACCUCACUUCAUGGCAUCAUGGAGGCAUUUUAUCAUUUCUCAUUUUCUCAAGAAGAAGGGUUCCACGUCUGUUGUGGCCUCUUCCAACAAUGACAGCAGCUCGGCUGAUAUCUGCUGCACGGACUCAAUGUUGCUAAACAAGCUAUCCACAUCCAGCCGAUCAAUCUGAAGAAACAAAAACACUGAGCACCAGCUGAUGGAGAGGGACGCACUGUAUUUAGGACGUUUUCUCCUGCUAAGAAAAUAAAUAAGAAAUUUCCAGAUUCAGAAAGUCACCAGUUAACUACCAACUUGAGAACUGUAAGAGGAUUAAAUGAGCAUACCAUGAGGCCUUUGGAACAGAACCCGACGAACGAUCGUUUGCCGAGUAACCAUUCUUCCUUCAUUGGGAAAGAAGACGGAUUGGAGAAGUGGCAUCUAAGAGCACACAGUGUUACAUGGCUUGGAACAUUGA